UUUGACACGACAUUGCUCACAUUGCUUCCAGUGUAAUUUAUAGCUUUUGGCAAGGUUGAAAAUUU
rnacentral:antisense_RNA from 1 species